rnacentral:misc_RNA from 1 species
GAUGAAGAACGCAGCGAAACGCGAUAACUAAUGUGAAUUGCAGAAUUCAGUGAAUCAUCGAGUCUUUGAACGCACAUUGCGCCCCCUGGUAUUCCGGGGGGCAUGCCUGUCCGAGCGUCAUUGCUGCCCUCAAGCACGGCUUGUGUGUUGGGCUCCGUCCCCCCGGGGACGGGCCCGAAAGGCAGCGGCGGCACCGAGUCCGGUCCUCGAGCGUAUGGGGCUUUGUCACCCGCUCUGUAGGCCCGGCCGGCGCCAGCCGACAACCCAUCAUCCUUUUCAGGUUGACCUCGGAUCAGGUAGGGAUACCCGCUGAACUUAAGCAUAUCAAUAAGCGGAGGA